AGUAACACGUGGAUAACCUACCUAUAAGACUGGGAUAACUUCGGGAAACCGGAGCUAAUAUCGGAUAAUAUUUUGAACCGCAUGGUUCAAAAGUGAAAGACGGUCUUGCUGUCACUUAUAGAUGGAUCCGCGCUGCAUUAGCUAGUUGGUAAGGUAACGGCUUACCAAGGCAACGAUGCAUAGCCGACCUGAGAGGGUGAUCGGCCACACUGGAACUGAGACACGGUCCAG
rnacentral:rRNA from 1 species